rnacentral:tRNA from 1 species
GCCGGGGUGGCGAAACUGGUCAGACGCGGCUGGCUUAAAACCAGCUGUCCCCUUGCGGGGCAUGGGGGUUCGAGUCCCUCCCCCGGCA